AAGGCCUUAGCUUAAUUAAAGUGUCUGGGUUGCAUUCAGAAGAUGUGGUAUAGAGCUCCGCAGGUCUUA
rnacentral:tRNA from 1 species